rnacentral:rRNA from 1 species
AUGUGGCAGCACGAGCAUAUGUCUAGAGCCCAGCGCUCUGAAAAUAAGAUGAGGUUAUUCCAGGACUGUUUGUUGGCAUGCGAAUUAUGGGACCUCGGUUUCUUGGGGUAUCCAUUUACAUAUGAUAAUGGGCAGAUUGGAGAGAGGAACAUGCGAGUUCGCCUUGAUCGAGCCUAUGCGGAUGAGGGGUGGAGGGAGCUCUUCCCGGUCGCGCAAGUUGUUCACCUUGCUUCGUCAUGUUCUGACCACUGUCCAAUCGUGGUUCGACUUGCUCUUGAGGAUUCGAGGAGGACUACAGCCUCUCCUCAGUAUGAGAUUAUGUGGGAACACCACCCGGCGUUGUCAGAGGUGGUGGCGAGUGGAUGGAGGAAAAGCAAACCGGCCGGCAAUCUGGCGGCGGUGCGGGACGCCCUACAUGAAAUGAUGAAUGGCCUUAGGGCGUGGAGUAAGAAGAAUUUCGGCCAUGUUGUCACAGAAUUGGAGAAGUUAAGAUCCGAGCUGGCUGACCUACAGCUAAAGGAUGCGGAUCGUUCGUUGAUUCGCCAGAAGAUGGCUCAACUCGAUGAGCUGCUGUAUAGGGAAGAGAUGACAUGGUUACAGAGCUCGCGCAUUACGUGGCUGAAGGAAGGAGAACGAAACACGGCAUAUUUGCAUAUGCGAGCUGUGUGGCGGGCGCGGAGGAACUACAUACAGAGACUUCGGCGUACUGAUGGAUCAUGGUGCUCCUCUCCAUCGGACAUGGAACGCAUGGCUACUUCCUACUUCAAGGAAGUGUACACCAAGGACCCGACUCUCAACCCCGAUGUCGUUCUUGAGGCUAUUGGCCCUAAGGUAACUGAACAGAUGAACGCCAUGUUAUGUGUGCCGUUUACCGAGGAGGAAGUGUCGAAUGCACUGUUUCAAAUUGGCCCGCUUAAAGCUCCGGGCACGGAUGGCUUCCCGGCAAGGUUCUAUCAACGGAAUUGGGCAGCUCUAAAAUCUGAAAUCACAGCUGCCGUGUUGGAGUUCUUUGUCUCUGGCUCCAUGCCAGAAGGGGUUAAUGAUACGGCGAUCGUCCUCAUCCCGAAAGUUCCUUAUCCCAAGGAGCUCAAGGAUUUCAGGCCGAUCAGCCUCUGCAAUGUUAUUUACAAGUUGGUGUCUAAAUGUUUGGUUAACCGUCUCCGUCCUUGUCUGUCGGAGUUGAUUUCUGAGAAUCAAAGUGCUUUUAUUCCGGGCCGGCUCAUCUCGGAUAAUUCUAUCAUUGCCUUUGAGUGCAUCCAUCACAUACAAUCGUUGAAGAACACCAGUCGGGCGGCCUACGCGUACAAACUCGAUCUAUCAAAGGCGUACAAUCGGGUCGACUGGGAUUUUCUGGAGAAGGCGCUGAGUAGAUGGGGCUUCUCGGAACAGUGGAUAGCUUGGAUAAUGUCUUGUGUCAAAUCUGUCCGUUAUUCGGUUAAACUGAAUGGGAAACUUCUGGAGGUUUUUUCACCAUCGCGAGGCCUUCGUCAAGGUGACCCAUUGUCUCCGUUUUUGUUUCUCUUUGUCGCUGAUGCGUUAUCUGCUCUCCUAUCUAAAUCAGUGAAUGAAGGUAGCUUGAACGGGGUGAGCAUUUGUCGGGGUGCACCGGAGAUUUCUCAUCUCCUCUUUGCGGAUGACACCUUGCUAUUUUUUGAAGCUUCAGGCCAGCAGGCGAAUGUUGUUAAAGGUUUGUUGAACACUUAUUCCUCGGCGACGGGUCAACUUAUAAACCCCGAGAAGUGUUUCAUCCUUUUUUCUGACAAUUGCGGUGGGUCAGUCGUGGAUGAGAUCAAGAGUACAUUGGAGGUAACGCAGCAGGUGUUUGAACCAAAAUACCUUGGACUCCCGGUCCCUGAAGGAAGAGUUCACAAGGGGCAGUUUGAGACACUGCAAGAUAGAUUGAGGAAAAUUCUUAUUGAUUGGAGUGAACAAUAUGUUUCAGUUGGAAAUAAAGAGAUUCUUAUCAAGGCCGUGGCUCAGGCGAUUCCCACCUAUGUAAUGGGUGUGUUCAAAUUGCCGGCCUCAGUGUGUGAUGAUCUAACCAAGAUGAUGCGGCAAUAUUGGUGGGGUGUGGAAAAUGGCAAAAGGAAGAUGGCAUGGUUAAGCUGGGAGAGGAUGAUGUUACCCAAAGCAAUGGGGGGCAUGGGAUUCCGAGACAUGAGGGCGUUUAAUCAAGCUCUGCUUGCCAAGCAGGCUUGGCGCCUCUUGGAUAGCGCAGAUAGCCUUUGUGCGAGAUUAUUGAAGGCCAAAUACUACCCUAGGGGAAAUUUGCUUGACACUGUUUUCUCGUCUAACAGUUCGGCGGUUUGUUCAUGGACUUGA